CCUACGGGAGGCAGCAGUGAGGAAUAUUGGUCAAUGGACGAGAGUCUGAACCAGCCAAGCAGCGUGAAGGAUGACUGCCCUCUGGGUUGUAAACUUCUUUUAUAAAGGAAUAAAACGAGGCACGUGUGCCUCUUUGCAUGUACUUUAUGAAUUAGGAUCGGCUAACUCCGUGCCAGCAGCCGCGGUAAUACGGAGGAUCCGAGCGUUAUCCGGAUUUAUUGGGUUUAAAGGGAGCGUAGUUGGGGUGUUAAGUCAGUUGUGAAAGUUUGCGGCUCAACCGUAAAAUUGCAAUUGAUACUGGCAGUCUUGAGUACAGUUGAGGUAGGCGGAAUUCGUGGUGUAGCGGUGAAAUGCUUAGAUAUCACGAAGAACCCCGAUUGCGAAGGCAGCUUACUAAACUGUGACUGACAUUGAUGCUCGAAAGUGUGGGUAUCAAACAGGAUUAGAUACCCCUGUAGUC
rnacentral:rRNA from 1 species